rnacentral:rRNA from 1 species
ACGCGAGGGUGCAAGCGUUAUCCGGAUUUAUUGGGUUUAAAGGGCCGUAGGCGGACUUAUAAGUCAGUGGUGAAAGCCUGUCGCUUAACGAUAGAACUGCCAUUGAUACUGUAAGUCUUGAGUAUAUUUGAGGUAGCUGGAAUAAGUAGUGUAGCGGUGAAAUGCAUAGAUAUUACUUAGAACCACCAAUUGCGAAGGCAGGUUACUCAAGAUAUAACUGACGCUGAGGGCSVAAAGCGUGGGCGAGCGAACAGGAUUAGAUACCCUGGUAGUCCACGCCSHAACGAUGCUAACUCGUUUUUGGGCUUUAGGGUGCAGAGA